AGUGAACGCUGGCGGUAGGCCUAACACAUGCAAGUCGAGCGGCAGCAGGGUGAUUGCUUGUGGUUUCGGGUGGGGAGGGGCGGAUGGUGGAGAGAUAUCUCGGAGUCUAUGGGUGAUUGGGGGCUGACGCAGGGGCUCAUACGCCAAAAGUGCAUACGAACUACGGGUGAGAGCAUGGGAUCUUCCGAUCUUAGGUGAGCCAAUGAGGCGAUGUCGGAUUAGCUAGUUGGCGGGGUAAAGGCCCACCAAGGCGACGAUCCGUAGCUGGUCUGAGAGGAUGAUCAGCCACACUGGAACUGAGACACGGUCCAGACUCCUACGGGAGGCAGCAGUGGGGAAUAUUGGACAAUGGGCGCAAGCCUGAUCCAGCCAUACCGCGUGGGUGAAGAAGGCCUUCGGGUUGUAAAGCCCUUUUGUUGGGAAAGAAGAGCAGCAAGUUAAUACCCCGCUGUUCUGACGUUACCCAAAGAAUAAGCACCGGCUAACUUCGUG
rnacentral:rRNA from 1 species